UACGUAGGGACCGAGCGUUGUCCGGAUUCAUUGGGCGUAAAGAGCUCGUAGGCGGCCACUCAAGUCGAAUGUGAAACCUCGAGGCUUAACCUCGAGCCUGCAUUUGAUACUGGGCGGCUAGAGUCUGGUAGGGGGAUCUGGAAUUCCUGGUGUAGCGGUGGAAUGCGCAGAUAUCAGGAGGAACACCGGUGGCGAAGGCGGGUCUCUGGGCAGUAACUGACGCUGAGGAGCGAAAGCGUGGGGAGCGAACAGG
rnacentral:rRNA from 1 species